AUACGGGGGGUGCAAGCGUUAUUCGGAUUUAUUGGGCGUAAAGAGCGCGUAGGCGGCUUGGUAAGUCAGAUGUGAAAGCCCGGGGCUCAACCCCGGAAGUGCAUUUGAAACUAUCAGGCUUGAGUAUGUGAGAGGGAAGUGGAAUUCCUGGUGUAGAGGUGAAAUUCGUAGAUAUCAGGAGGAACACCGGUGGCGAAGGCGACUUCCUGGACCGAUACUGACGCUGAGGCGCGAAGGCGUGGGGAGCAAACAGGAUUAGAAACCCCAGUAGUCC
rnacentral:rRNA from 1 species